rnacentral:misc_RNA from 1 species
UGGCUCUCCCAUCGAUGAAGAACGCAGCGAAAUGCGAUAAGUAAUGUGAAUUGCAGAAUUCAGUGAAUCAUCGAAUCUUUGAACGCACCUUGCGCCCUUUGGUAUUCCGAAGGGCAUGCCUGUUUGAGUGUCAUUAAAUUCUCAACCUACAAGCUGGUUUGCGCCAGUUUGAAGGCUUGGAUGUGAGGGUUAUUGCUGGCUUCCUUAAGUGGCGGUCUGCUCCCUUUAAAAACAUUAGUGGGGUUCUUUGUGAACGGUUCACUUGGUGUGAUAAUUUAUCUACGCCUUUGAACUUGAAGCAAUCUAAUGGACCUUGCUUAUAACCGUCCGCAAGGACAACACACUUUGACUUUGACCUCAAAUCAGGUAGGACUACCCGCUGA